rnacentral:rRNA from 1 species
GCAGUCGAGCGAACAGGAUCAGAGGAGCUUGCUCUCUCUGAUGUUAGCGGCGGACGGGUGAGUAACACGUGGGUAACCUACCUAUAAGACUGGGAUAACUUCGGGAAACCGGAGCUAAUACCGGAUAAUAUUUUGAACCGCAUGGUUCAAAAGUGAAAGAUGGUUUUGCUGUCACUUAUAGAUGGAUCCGCGCCGCAUUAGCUAGUUGGUAAGGUAACGGCUUACCAAGGCAACGAUGCAUAGCCGACCUGAGAGGGUGAUCGGCCACACUGGAACUGAGACACGGUCCAGACUCCUACGGGAGGCAGCAGUAGGGAAUCUUCCGCAAUUGGCGAAAGCCUGACGGAGCAACGCCGCGUGAGUGAUGAAGGUCUUCGGAUCGUAAAACUCUGUUAUUAGGGAAGAACAUAUGUGUAAGUAACUGUGCACGAUCUUGACGGUACCUAAUCAGAAAGCCACGGCUAACUACGUGCCAGCAGCCGCGGUAAUACGUAGGUGGCAAGCGUUAUCCGGAAUUAUUGGGCGUAAAGCGGCGCGUAGGCGGUUUCUUAAGUCUGAUGUGAAAGCCCACGGCUCAACCGUGGAGGGUCAUUGGAAACUGGAAAACUUGAAGUGCAAGAAGAGGAAAGUGGAAUUCCAUGGGUAGCCGGUGAAAUGCGCGGAAUUAUGAAGGACCACCAGGGGCGAAGGCGACUUUCCUGUCUGUAACUGACGGCUGAUGGGCCGAAGCGGGGGGGUUCAACCGGGUUAAAUACCUUGUUAGUCCCCGGCCUUAAACGAUGGGUGCCUAAGUGUUAGGGGGGUUUCGCCCCCUUAGUGCCUGCACCUACCGCAUUUAGCCCUUCCGCCUGGGGAGUACGCCCGCAGGGUGGAAACUCAAGGAAAUGGACGGGGACCCGACCAAGCGGUGGAGCCAUGUGUUUUAUUUCGAACCACCCGGAGGACCCUUCCCAAAUCUGGCCAUCUUUGGAAAAUCCUGGAAAUGGACCUUUCCCCUUCGGGGGCCAAAUUGCCAGUUGUUCCAGGGUGUUCUUCAGUUGGGUUGGGGGGAGGUUGGGUAAAUUCCGCCAAGGAGGCCACCCUUUAAGUUUAGUGCCCUCCAUUAAGUGGGCCAUUUUAAGUGGACUCCGGGGGCCAACCGGGGGGAAGGGGGGGAGGAGUCCAAUUCUCCAUCCCCCUUUGGAUUUGGGCUCCCCCCGGGUUCCAAGGGCCAAUCCAAGGGGAAGUGAACCCGGGGGUCCAACCAAUUCCCAUAAAGUGGUUUCCAUUUCGGAUGUUAUUUGCAAAUUGGAUUCCAGGAAGCGGGAAUCGUUGGUAUUGUAGGAUCACCUGGUUCCGUUGAAUAGUUUCCCGGUUUUGGUCCCCCCCCCCGUCCCCCCCCGGGGAUUUUAACCCCCGGAACCCGGGGGUGUACACAUUUAUGGAGC